GCGGGUCGCCGCCGGCGACGUCGCGAGAAGUCCACUGAACCUUAUCAUUUAGAGGAAGGAGAAGUUGUAACAAGGUUUCCGUAGGUGAACCUGCGGAAGGAUCAUUGUUGAAACCUGCCCAGCAGAACAACCGGCGAACACGUAAACCACUCCUCCGGGCGGGGGUCCGCUCGGGCCCUCUCCCCUCAGCCGAGGAGGGCGCCCCUCGGGACGCCCCCUGGGCACAGCAACAAAACCCCGGCGCGGAAAGCGCCAAGGAACAUGAACGCUAGAGUGCCCUCCCGUGCCCGGUCAUCCGGCGCGCGGGCGCGGCACCCGCCACGCAUAACACAACGACUUUUGGCAACGGAUAUUUUGGCUCUCGCAUCGAUGAAGAAAGUAGCGAAAUGCGAUACUUGGUGUGAAUUGCAGAAUCCCGUGAACCAUCGAGUCUUUGAACGCAAGUUGCGCCCGAAGCCGUCAGGCCGAGGGCACGCCUGCCUGGGCGUCACGCAUCGCGUCUCCCCCUCCCCCCCCGCGUGGAGGGGGGAUGGAGGAUGGCCUCCCGUGCCUCACCGGGCGCGGCUGGCCUAAAUUCGGAGCCCACGGCGACGGGCAGCCGCGGCGGUUGGUGGUUGCCUCACGGAAGCCUUAAGCGCCGGGCAUGCACGUCGUCACAGGAGCUCGGAGGGCCCGUCGAGCCUCGAGCGCUCGCGUCACCGUUGCGACCCCAGGUCAGGCGGGGUUACCCGCUGAGUUUAAGCAUAUCA
rnacentral:rRNA from 1 species